CACUGCCAUGAAGAAGAAUAACCCCAGGAAGUACCUUCGCAGUGUAGGAGAUGGAGAGACUGUGGAGUUUGAUGUUGUUGAAGGAGAAAAGGGUGCGAAGGCAGCAAAUGUUACAGGUCCUGGUGGUGUUCCAGUUCAAGGCAGUAAAUAUGCAGCAGACCGUAACCAUUAUAGACGCUAUCCACGUCCUAGGGGUCCUCCACGCAAUUACCAGCAAAAUUACCAGAAUAGUGAGAGUGGGGAAAAGAACGAGGGAUCGGAGAGUGCUCCCGAAGGCCAGGCCCAACAACGCCGGCCCUACCGCAGGCGAAGGUUCCCACCUUACUACAUGCGGAGACCCUAUGGGCGUCGACCACAGUAUUCCAACCCUCCUGUGCAGGGAGAAGUGAUGGAGGGUGCUGACAACCAGGGUGCAGGAGAACAAGGUAGACCAGUGAGGCAGAAUAUGUAUCGGGGAUAUAGACCACGAUUCCGCAGAGGCCCUCCUCUCCAAAGACAGCCUAGAGAGGACGGCAAUGAAGAAGAUAAAGAAAAUCAAGGAGAUGAGACCCAAGGUCAGCAGCCACCUCAACGUCGGUACCGCCGCAACUUCAAUUACCGACGCCGACGCCCAGAAAACCCUAAACCACAAGAUGGCAAAGAGACAAAAGCAGCCAAUCCACCAGCUGAGAAUUCGUCCGCUCCCGAGGCUGAGCAGGGCGGGGCUUGAGUAAAUGCCGGCUUACCAUCUCUACCAUCAUCCGGUUUAGUCAUCCAACAAGAAGAAAUAAUGAAAUUCCAGCAAUAAGAAAUGAACAAAAGAUUGGAGCUGAAGACCUUAAAUGCUUGCAUUUUGCCCGUUGACCAGAUAAAUAGAUCUGCAUUAUCUAUGCAGCAUGGGGUUUUUAUUAUUUUUACCUAAAGACGUCUCUUUUUGGUAAUAACAAACGUGUUUUUUAAAAAAGCCUGGUUUUUCUGAAUACGCCUUUAAAGGUUUUUAAAUUGUUUCAUAUCUGGUCAAGUUGAGAUUUUUAAGAACUUCCUUUUUAAUUUGUAAUAAAAGUUUACAACUUGAUUUUUUCAAAAAAGUCAACAAACUGCAAGCACCUGUUAAUAAAGGUCUUAAAAACAAAACAAAACAAAACAAAAAAAAAACUUUAAGCAUUCAGAACCCAGAUACAAACUUCUGCAAUUGCCUCAGCAAUAGUCUAG
rnacentral:lncRNA from 1 species